GAGUUCCCGCUGCAUUACGGAGGCUUCAGGUUCCUUUUGCUGAAGAUUCUCCUGGCUUCAGCAAAAGGAACCCGAAGCCUCCAGAAUGCAGCGGGAACUC